GCGAUCAAUAAUCGCUCGCUCCCGCUUACACUCCAGGCGCUGGCAGAGCUCCAACACAACCCAGGCGAGCCUCGCCAGUCGGCUGAGACACUAUGUUUAGCCAGAGAAUGUCGACGGGUUUUUUGACAACAACCACAACAACCACAGCAACAACAGCAGCAACAAAAAAUGAAUGUAUUGCUCCAAAGAAGCAAGACAUUAAUAAUUUCAGUUUGUGUCUUGCACAUUUGAGGUUAAGGUACGCCAAUGUCACACUCAUUCAUUCACAUUCGUUGCGAGGCGUCGCGAGCAACAGCAGCAGCAGCAGCAGCAACUGACAGCAGCAAUCGUCAGCAGCAGCAGCAACGGCUUCUUUCUUUUUUGGCAAGUCAUUGCGAAAGUGACCCAGUUCUGGCUGCGUCGUCAUCAUCCAUCUACCUGGGAUGCAUUUCAUUGAUGCAAAACUGCACGCGUGCACUAUGGAAUACUUCCUGGACCACCGACCGACCAAGCGACCGACCAACCGACCGACCAUUUAUGGUCUUGGAUAAAACGCAUUUUAAUUUCGGUUAUAAAAACUUUAAGCAAUUUUCGCUUGACGCCUUUCAUUGUGCAUUCCGUUUAACCCUUUCGCUGUUAAAGUGUCUUUCUCUUUGUGCCAAACGUAUGUGUGUGACUGUGAGUGUAUGUGUGUGUGUGUGAGUGUGAGUGUGUGCGUGUGUUUGUACUCACUCAUCACGGUCAUAACUGUUUUAUGGUCACGGUAAUUUGCGACCCACAUUACAGAGUUUUCAAUGAAAAUCUUAGCUCAAUUAUGUGUUACCUGAAAUUUGAAAAUGCGGGAAAAUCCAUACUGAAUGCGCUUGUGCCUUUAGUACGAGUAUUUUGCCAACAUUCAUAAUAUAUGAAAGCCCACUAAUUCAUUGAGCAUUUGUCAGAGUUUAUCGCAAUGUUCGUUGGUCUUAACAACGAUCGUAUGUCGGAGUAUUCAUAUCACAUGUCUGUCAUAUCAAAGUUCUUAGAGUAUUCAAAUCAGCUUUACCAGGCCUGGCAACAAAUAUAUUUUGCUAUUAAUACAAUAUACUUAUUAAUGCACUUUUCCUAAUCACAAUAUCAUCAUAGUUGUACCAUAUGAAUUAUAAUAGAAAGUGAAGUUCAUGUUAUUAAUGUUCUAAGAUCUCCGUUGCUAAUAAUAACAAUAUUGAAU